ACGUAUCUUCUUCCACGUCCACACUUUUACACAGUCGCAAGUUGCUCUUGCCAGAUCCCCUUUCUCUCUUCCUCAUUCUCUCCGCUCACUCCAAAAUUGCUGCCGCCGGAUAGCUGUCGUCAGCUUGCUUCCUUGGUUCGGUGCCAUCAGCUUGCUCGUCCUCACCUGCGGCCACCCCCGCAGCUCGAUUCGCUAGUGCGGCCAUAGGAUGAACUUCAACGGCGGCUGGUUUGUCUCCACGUACGCCUCUUCGGUCUAGGCUGGUAAACAGCGAUGGAGGGGUAGCAGGGCCCAAGGUGGAGCUGCGCAAGGGAGUAGGCGAGAUCAUCCAUCUGCACGGUGUUGUUGCUCUCGACGUCCGUGCAGGUGAUGUGGGCAUGGAUUUCGCCUCGCAACCAGCUUUGAUCCAUCUUUAGUAUGAGGAUGGUGGAGACGUUUUCUGCCCCUAGAGCGCCAGCGAAACGCAUCCUCCACAUCGGCGACAUUCUUCGAAGUUCGAAGACAGUGGUAGACCUGAAUUUGUGUUUUUUUGGGGUGAUGGAUGACUACAAAGAUCAAUGGCGAUGCACCUGCUGGUCUUUGGACAGGGGAGUAUCUUGCUCCGCCGCUUAAGACCUGGGCUGGCCAACCCUGCUCGUCCCAAUGGUUGGUCCACCACAGGUUGCGGAUUAAUGCUCAAGUUUGUGAAGAUUCAUUAUUUUUAUUACUUUUUGCUUUACUUUUCUCAUUAUUUUUAUGCCAUCUGUACUUGAUUAAUGAGGUACUUUAUUAGACAUAAUUACUGUGGUACUCAAUUCAAAUAUUAUGUGACCAUUAUCUGAUCUACAAACUGUAAGUAGAUACCAUACUGCAGUACUCUUACCCUUUGCUUCUUAAUAGACUUCAAACCUAUGGAGGCCAUUCCACAAUCCCAGAUUAUAGUAGAGGAGCACGCUAUAAUUCUGUGAGAUGGUACUUACUAAAGAUGGUCUGAUCUCUUGACGUAGCAGAUUACGAUUGAGGAUAGUCAACAUGAGAUUGGGGGGCUUGUGACCGAUGCAGGAAGACAAUGCUGAAGUGCCACUUGUUGGAGGAAGUUGACAUCGAAGUGUUGUUUGCUGGAGGAAGAUGAUGUAAUAAGGGUACUCUUCUGAAAUCUAAAGGACAAUGAACUUUUGAGAUGGUCGAACCAUUGCCUGGGGAAGGUAUUUUAGGGAUGGCUGAGUUGACCACGCUUGCUCGAUGGAAAGAGAUGUUACUUGGAUGCGGAGAGAUUUUAUAUAUGUACGUGAACGUGAGAUUUUGUUUCUGCUUGGAGAGAUUGUAUCUCUGUACAAUAUUGGUAGAGUUUGGUUAUGUUUGGAGAGAUUGUAUCUUUGCAUAGGAUUGUGAGAGUUUGGUCAUUGCGUCCUGUACAUGAUCGUUUGACUUUUUCUGGGACCAUGAGAGUGUAUAUUUUUAAACGUGUAAUGAUCAGCUUUUUUUUAUGGCUA